rnacentral:lncRNA from 1 species
UAUGUAUACUAGUGAAGUUACCCGCGCAUUGCGGCGGACUAAUACCAUAAAAGAUGGUAGAUUGAUAAAAUAAAAAUUUUAAAAUUUUUUGACCAGUCAUGAGACGUUAAUAAAUACAAAUAGUAUGAGAAAAACGAGAAUAAAGAGAUUUUAUUUUACUUUUUUUUUUGUGAAAGCGAUUAGUUUAGAUUACAAUGAACUGUGUGAGUGCAUUAAUUAGAAAGUGGGCGGGUGGGAAGACGAAGCAUCGAGUGAAGAUGGAAGGUUGGAAGGCGAAUUAUCAGGAAGUGAGAAGGGGAGAGAAGGCACGGGUGAAAGAGGAACUGCCAUGUGGCAAAUUUUAUGGGGAAUAAUGUAUAGGUAUAGAUAUGCUAUAUAAUUUGUGAAA